rnacentral:rRNA from 1 species
UACGAAGGGGGCUAGCGUUGCUCGGAAUCACUGGGCGUAAAGCGCACGUAGGCGGAUUGUUAAGUCAGGGGUGAAAUCCUGGAGCUCAACUCCAGAACUGCCUUUGAUACUGGCGAUCUUGAGUCCGGGAGAGGUGAGUGGAACUGCGAGUGUAGAGGUGAAAUUCGUAGAUAUUGGGAAGAACACCGAUGGCGAAGGCAGCCAUCUGGACCGACACUGACGCUGAGGCGCGAAAGCGUGGGGAGCAAACAGG